rnacentral:rRNA from 1 species
AGUGAACGCUGGCGGUAGGCCUAACACAUGCAAGUCGAACGGCAGCACAGUAAGAGCUUGCUCUUACGGGUGGCGAGUGGCGGACGGGUGAGGAAUACAUCGGAAUCUACUUUUUCGUGGGGGAUAACGUAGGGAAACUUACGCUAAUACCGCAUACGACCUACGGGUGAAAGCAGGGGAUCUUCGGACCUUGCGCGAUUGAAUGAGCCGAUGUCGGAUUAGCUAGUUGGCGGGGUAAAGGCCCACCAAGGCGACGAUCCGUAGCUGGUCUGAGAGGAUGACCGCCAAACCGGGAACUGAGACCGGGGCCAACACCCUAGGGGGGGCAGGAGUGGGGAAUAUGGGACAAGGGGCGAAAGCUUGAUCCAGCCAACCCGGGGGGGUGAAGAAGGCCUGCGGGUUGUAAAGCCCUUUUUUUGGGAAAGAAAAGCAGCAGGUUAAUACCCCGCUGUUCUGACGGUACCCAAAAAAAAAGCACCGGCUAACUUCGU